rnacentral:lncRNA from 1 species
AUCAGUAAGGAGCCUCCGACAGAAAUGGCACCCUAAGGCUGAGAUUCUGCACAAAAGCUUUGUCUCUCCUGCACACGGGCACCCUAAGGCUGAGCAGCACUCUCUGCCGGGUGACUGCGCCAGCGCCCAGACCACCUGCUGGAGAAAGAAAGCAUGGCACGUUGAAGAGGCUCCUGGAACGCGCCGCUGCAGUCAUUCCGGCGCACCCAGUUAGAGCUCCUGCUCUGGGCCACUGAGACCAAAGAGAAAUGGUGUCAGCUGUGAGAAACUUGCUUAUCCUGGAAGCCCCAAGAGACGCAGCUCUGCUGAUGCAGCUAGACACAGCUCCGAAGACACCACAGGAAGCUUUGGAAGCACAAUAUACUUUGUGAAGAAAUUUGAAAACUUCAGUGCUACUUAGCAAGUUUCUUGGCAUUAGCAGUUAUCCAGGGACUCCCAGCGGGUAUCUACCCAGCUGGAGAAAGAAAUAUUCCAACAGGAAGGAAGAAACUCUCCAAUCUCACUGCAGGCCUGGAUAUUUGGAAAGAUCUCAUCACCAGACAGGGUGAAGGACACUGGACUUUGACUUUUGGACUCACAUAGCCAAUGGCUUGCUUGGCGUCUUCACAAAGAUAUCUAACAAGCAUCUCAACCCUAACAGAACUCUCGGUUCCUUCCCUCUCAUCCCCAACAUACGCCCCCACUAAUGUUCCCCAUUUCAAUAAAAUAAAUGGUUUUGGCUUAAGCCAAAAGCCUAGACUCCUCCUCGAUUCCUCUCUUUCUCACAUCUCCACAGCCAACCUAUCGGCAAGACCUUCUGGCUCAGCCAUCACAAGGUAUCUCGAAUCUGUCCACUUUCACUCCUUCUUCAUUGCUGCCAUGUGCUUCCAAGCCACCAGCAUCCAUUCAAACAACUCAGUUAGGUCUGUCCGUGGCCACCCUGGCUCUAUGACAACCCAUUUUCCCAUACAGCAUCCCGAGACCCUAGGCGACCUGGCUGCUGUCUACCUCUCCCACAAUGAGCUUCUCUUCCUUCAGGUAAGAACUGGAAUGUUACAUGACCCUGUUCAAUUUCAUCAGUGUACUUAGAAGAAUCAGCCAUUUUAAUACUCGUUCAUUUGUGUUUGUUGUCACGCCUCCCUCAUUUGAUGAGGGUGG